rnacentral:rRNA from 1 species
GACGAACGCUGGCGGCGUGCCUAACACAUGCAAGUCGAACGGGGUAAAGACUUCGGUUUUUACUUAGUGGCGAACGGGUGAGUAACGCGUGAGAAACCUGCCUUUCAGUGGGGGACAACAGUUGGAAACGACUGCUAAUACCGCAUAAUGUUAUUUGGGGGCAUCCCUGAAUAACCAAAGAUUCAUUGCUGAAAGAUGGUCUCGCGUCUGAUUAGCUAGUUGGUGAGGUAACGGCUCACCAAGGCGACGAUCAGUAGCCGGUCUGAGAGGAUGAACGGCCACAUUGGGACUGAGAUACGGCCCAGACUCCUACGGGAGGCAGCAGUGGGGAAUAUUGGGCAAUGGGGGAAACCCUGACCCAGCAACGCCGCGUGAAGGAAGAAGGCCUUCGGGUUGUAAACUUCUUUUACCAGGGACGAACAAAUGACGGUACCUGGAGAAAAAGCAACGGCUAACUACGUGCCAGCAGCCGCGGUAAGAC